CGAGGCCUUCGAAACGGCGGACGGCGAGGCCGGCGCGGCGCUGGCCGGCUGCGCCGGGGUGCUGGUGCCCGGCGGGUUCGGCACCCGCGGCGUCGA
rnacentral:tRNA from 1 species